rnacentral:rRNA from 1 species
AGGGUAAACGCUGGCGGCGUGCCUAAAACAUGCAAGUCGAACGAGAACUUCGGUUCUAGUGGCAGACGGCUGAGUAACACGUGGAUGACCUGCCCGACUGUGGGGAAUAACUGCCCGAAAGGGUGGCUAAUACCGCAUACGUUCCCAGAUUCGAUUUUGGGAGGAAAGCUCGCAAGGGCGCAGAUGGAGGGGUCCGCGGCCGAUUAGCUAGUUGGUGGGGUAACGGCCUACCAAGGCGACGAUCGGUAGCUGGUCUGAGAGGAUGAUCAGCCAGACUGGGACUGAGACACGGCCCAGACUCCUACGGGAGGCAGCAGUUAGGAAUUUUGGGCAAUGGGCGAAAGCCUGACCCAGCAACGCCGCGUGGGUGACGAAGGCCUUCGGGUCGUAAAGCCCUUUUCUGAGGAAGAUAGUGACGGUACCUCAGGAAGAAGCACCGGCUAACUACGUGCCAGCAGCCGC